UGGAGUGCUCAAAGGCUGCAGAUCUUCC
rnacentral:piRNA from 1 species